CUUGCUUUUGAAGUUCCCAUUUUCAGUAAAAGAUUGAUCCUUUCUUAGCUAAUUCACAAAAGCCACAUGGAUUUCGAUUUCCAAAAGAAUCGGUUUCAAAUUCUUAUCUUCAUCGCUGGAAUCGUGGCGCUCAGUAUCACUGAAUGCAGAUAACAAAGAUGAAAAGGUCAAAUAAUAAGUCUUCGUUGAAGCUAGGGUGAGAAGAACAACAACAAACGGCUCUAUUUGUGGGAAGGCACCUUUUAAUAUUUCAAUUAUGCUAUUUUCUUCAAACUCUUCUUAAUCCAUUUCUGAGCGAACACUAUAUUCAUGCCUACAGAAGUCAAUAUUUUCUGCGGAAAAAUCCCACAUCUAAUCAUUUUCCUCAGAAACAAACAAGCGCUUAGGCUUUUCAGCUCAUCAAGCACAGAUAGCUCCACCAUUGCAAACCUUGUAGCAAAGCAACAUUGGUCAAAGCUCAAAACCCAUCUCCAAAACACAAACCCCAAAGCACUUCUCCACCAACUACUCACUUCAGAAGCUGAUUCAGAGCUCACUCUCAGGUACUUAACAUGGUCCCAGAAGGAGUUUAAACUUUCACACUCUCUAGAGCUCACUUUCAGAACGUUGCAUUCACUUGCAUGUGCCAAAAAGUACUCAAAGAUCAGGUCUUUUUUGGAUAAUUUCGUUAAGAAUGAGAAGAACUAUUCAGUUUCUUCUAUUUUUCAUGCAAUUUCAGUGGGUGGGGAUUCAUUUUGUGCCAAUUCAAUAAUAGUUGAUAUGUUGGUAUUGGCAUACGUGAAAAAUUUGAAAACACAUUUGGGAUAUGAAGCAUUUAGGAGAGCUGGUGAUUAUGGGUUUAAGUUGUCAGUUAUUUCAUGUAAUCCUCUGUUGAGUGCUUUGGUUAAGGAGCUUGAAAUUAGCAAAAUGGAAGUUGUGUAUAAGGAGAUGAUAAAGAGAAGGAUUGGACCUAGUUUAAUUAGUUUUAAUGUUGUGAUUAAUGGUUUGUGUAAAGCAGGGAAAUUGAAUAAAGCUAGUGAUGUUAUUGAGGAUAUGAAAGUGUGGGGAGUAUCACCAAAUGUAAUUACCUAUAAUACUCUCAUUGAUGGCUAUUGCAAGAUGGGUAAGAUUGGGAAGAUGUAUAAAGCCGAUGCUACUUUGAAGGAGAUGGUGGCAAAUGGGAUUUGCCCAAAUGAGGUUACUUUCAAUAUUUUGAUUGAUGGAUUUUGCAAGGAUGGGAAUGUAUCAGCCGCAAUGAAGGUGUUUGCAGAAAUGCAAAGUCAGGGUUUGAAACCGAAUGUGGUUACAUACAAUUCAUUGAUUAAUGGCUUAUGUUGUGAUGGGAAGUUUGGUGAGGCUACUGUUUUGUGGGAUCAAAUGAUUGGUUUGGGUUUGAAGCCAAAUGUCAUUACUUAUAAUUCACUUAUAAAUGGGUUUUGCAAGAAUAAGAUGGUGGUGGAAGCAAGUGACUCAUUCAAUGAUAUGCCAAAGCAAGGAAUAGCUCAUAAUGUUACAACUUACAAUAUAUUGAUUGAUGGUUACUGUAAGGCUGGGAGGAUAGAGGACGCAUUUGCAGUGCGUAUUACAAUGAUGGGCAGAGGUAUUUGCCCUAAUGUUUCAACUUACAACUGCUUAAUUGCUGGUUUAUGUAGAAAGGGAGAUGUGGAAGCAGCCUGGAAUCUUAUGGAUGAAAUGGUUGGUAAGGAUUUGAGAGCUGAUGUUGUUACCUAUAAUAUACUGAUUGACUCAUUAUGCAGUAAAGGGGAAUCAAGAAAGGCAAUGAGACUCUUGGAUGAGAUGUCUAGAAAAGGAUUAAAACCAAGUCAUGUGACGUAUAAUUCUUUGAUGGAUGGCUAUUGUAAUGAAGGAAAUCUCAGAGCAGCAUUAAAUGUGAGGACACGAAUGGAGAAAGGAGGGAAACAAGCAAAUGUUGUCACAUAUAAUGUGCUGAUAAAGGGUUUCUGUAGGAAAGGUAGGCUUGAAGAUGCAAAUAAGCUUCUUAAUGAGAUGUUGGAGAAGGGUUUGGUUCCUAAUCGAAUGACCUAUGAGAUUGUUAGAGAGGAAAUGAUCGAGAAAGGCUUUAUUCCUGACAUAGAAGGGCAUCUAUUUAAUGUCUAGCGAGCUUAAAGUUUGUUAAAUGGGUUGGUUAGAUGAUGACCAUCAUUUCAUCAUUUGAUGGAAUGAUGGCAUUAAAGGAUCUUGAAUGGGCCUUCCAGUGAACUUCUAUACGACAGCUUAACUCAUCUAGUUGAAGGUGAUUUAAGCUGAUAAAUGCCGGCAACUGGUUGGAGAAGAUUCUUCGUCCCUGGGUGCAAAGUUUACCAUCUUUAACUGCUUUGACAUGAGCACUGGAACCCUGGCAUGCACAGUGAAGGAAGGUGUGAAGUUGUAUUUCUACAACAUUAGGUUUGCUCAUGUUGAGAAGGAGAGGAAUCUUGCUAUUGAGUGUGCAAUAGGUGAUGCAUUGGGACAAGGAAUAUCUGCAAAGGUUGCAGCAAACAAGCCCAGAAAGAAGGGACAAAGGCUGCAAAGUUAGCAACCCGUCAAGCAAAAUGCAUUAUAGGUCCUAUUAUUUCUUCUGGCUGGGACUUUUUGAAGCUCUUUAUUAUGGUGGUACCAUGACAGAAGGAUUCCUAUUUCAUAAAGGGCAGUGGAACAUUGUUUGGUGCCUAUGCUGGAGGGUUUGUCGGUGAAGCUAGCCUUGGGCACUUCCACUUUGGCUAUCUUGUAGGAAGUCAUCUGGUUAGCUAGGUUGAAGUGGGAUAUGACUGAUGAUAUAUGAUGUGGUCAAUGGAGUGCAUUUCUUGCUUCAAAUUUACCAAAAGGUUAGUGAAAGUCGUGAGAAUUAUGAUAAUUUUGAAGUUUCUGAGGACUUCAAUGUCUAUGAAACCCUGCAUACACAAGCUCUGAGGUUUCUGAGGACUCCAGUGUCUAUGAAACUUCUGCAUACACAAACUCUAAGGUUUCUGAAGACUCCAAUUUCUAUGAAUCUCCUCCCUCUGAAAGCUCCGAAUCAUACGAAAAUUCUGAAUUUGGGUGAAUAAAUUUGAUUCUUUAGUGGUUUCAUCCCCUAUUGUUCUGAUUUUAGCCAAAAUAGAUGCAAUAUAAGCUACAGUUUAGUGACUCAGUAGAGAAUUGUGCAUAAAUACUUGGCAGUGUUGUUAUAAAUUGGCUAUAAAUUCAGUUUGUCUGAGACGUAA